rnacentral:rRNA from 1 species
GGAUAGAGCGAAAGGAAACAUGGUAUCCAUUCAUUCCUGGGCCCACUUUUGGACCAGAUUCUGAAGGAAGAACUCUAUUCUCAUCUCACUUGUUCUUCCUGCUCACCCCAGCUCUCCUUGUAUCAAGAUUUGUAUCUCCAAUUUCACUCUGAAGUUGAGAGAAAUCCUGUGAUAUGUCGGAAAUUAAGUGGAGCGAUUAGCGUGCGUCUUCAUCAACCGACCUUGCAUCUCAGAGUUUACUAGUAGUUCAUCGAGCAGCCUUCACGGCGGAGGAUUAUCUGGUAUGGCUGGACUUUUCAUGGGCGAGGAGAGCCAGGAGCGGAUGAAUCUACGGGUGACACGGGUCUUGGUGACUGUGAGCCACCUCGCGCAUCUUACCCUGGCCCAAUUAUCCGGGAUCCGUCGGCGUAGAGACUCCGGUGUGCGGAUGUCUCUGGUGUGGGUGGCGUACCACGUGACCGAGAUAAUCACGCCAAUCGCCCUCGGCAAGGUGUUUCUCGACACCGCGACCGCGGUUAGCGAGGAGCUGAUGUUUCUCCUGCUGCACCUUGGUCGCCCGGACAACAUCACCAGCUACGCCUUGGAGCACAAUGAGCUGUCGCCGACCCAAAAGGCUGCUCUCGUCCUUGAAAUCGGAGGAGCUAUCUAUGGCUCAUACAAGCAAAGAUUUAUGCGCGGCGAUGCGGCUCUACGCGCCACCUUCUUCAUCAUGCUCUUCUUGGGCUCCUAUAAGUACGUGGAGAGGGCGGUUGCGCUACGGCGAGCUUGCUUUGACAACAUUCGUCGCUCAGCCGGGAGAAAGAAGUUACGGCGCUUCACAUUUGAGGACGAAGGCCGCAAGUGGGAUAAUGAUGAUGCCCUGCUUGAUGCUCACGGCCUUCUCGGUGUCACCAUGGGUGCCUUCGCUGACUAUCAAGUCCACCGCAGGAGGUAUGUCCCAUCCUAUUCUGGCUGGAAGGGUGUGAGCGAGGUGGUUGAGAUGGAGGCGUCGCUCAUGUACGACAUGUUGUACACCAAGGCAAGUGUGAUCCGCACUUGGGCCGGCUACAUCAUCCGUGUCCUCUCACCGCCGGCAACUGCCACGACGCUCUAUCUCUUCCACAGUAAGGAGGGCAAUGCCAUGGAGAGUGCAGAUCGGACGGUCACAUACACCUUGCUUGUUGGUACCCUGGUGUUGGAUGUGAGAUGGCUGCUGAGAGCACUAGGGUCCACCUGGACAUAUGCGUUCUUGGUAGAGCAAGGGGAAGGAAAAGAAUGGCUGCUUCCGGUUCGACGGACCUUCCCGGACAAUUUGCCACGUCAAGCUGCAAUGCAAUCAUGGUAUUGCGUCCGUCGCCUCCUCGUCUCUCUGGAUAUGUCCCGUCUCUCACUGAGAAGCGGCCCGAGUGGCCAUAGGUUGUUGUCCGGCGCGGGGCAACACAACUUGUUGCAAGAGUGUUGUACCUGUACUCCUCCUCGCCCUCCGGGCCAACUGGAGAAGCUGGUCUAUUCUUUCUUCACUGGACUUGGGAAGAAGACUGAUGAUGUCAAGGAUGAGUUGUUGGAAGCUGUGUGUACACAAGUACUGCUGGAAUCUUGCACACUCGUCGGGAUGCGUCCCAUAAGGGAACUCGAUGAUUUUAUGAGGUCUAAUGCCAGUAACUAUAGUUUUGAAAGCAACCUCAUCGCCCUGCACGUCGCCACGGGUAUUUUCCUCUUGUGCAAGCCGACUUCGAUAAAAAGUGAAGCAUCAGCCAAAUACGAGAAGCAGAUACGAGCAAUAUCAGAUUACAUGAUGUUCCUCCUCGCUGAACGCCAGCACAUGGUAUUGAGACAGGGUGACGAGGGUGUCCACUACAAAAAGGCCCGCCUCGAUUUGGAGGAGAUAUGGAGUGAACGAGGAACCGACAAUUCUCCAACAAUAAGAGAGACCAAGCAGCUUGCCAACAUCCUUCUAGACAUGGAUGCCACUGAGGGCAGCUGCGUGCUUGGAAGAUCAAGUCAUCUUUAUGACAGAAACGAUACUCUCGGGCUUGGUGCUUACUGGGCCUUCAACCUGUUAGAUGAGCUAGAACCGGGAAAUUAUGGACGACAUCCGAUGCAGGGCCAAUACAUUCACAAACUUGAAGCUUUCAUCCCGGCAUUCACCGAUGAGGUACAAACAAAAGUUAGAGAGCAUAGGGACCGUGGGGAACAACCAGAACUCCUCGAUUGUAUGUUGCAGACCAUUCUUGUUUCAUGGGUACGUCUUCUCACCUUCACGUCCGACCAAUGCAGCAGGGAUUCCCAUGCCAAGCAGCUCAGCUGCGGCGGUGAGCUCUUAACCAUCGUCUGGCUGAUGAAUCGACAAAAGUGAGUAAAUAGCAUAAAACUACUACUUUACAGGCUGUGGUUCCAAAAAACUACCGAAUUUAUUUUUUUCGCUGAUAACUAUCAAGUCAGGGGUUGGCUGUUUCAAAAAACCCCAAAUCCUCUUUGUUAAAAAAUUAAACAUGUUUAUGACAGGUCGGGCCCGCCACUAAACGCACCGUUUGGUUGACCGUUUGUUUGACCGUUAACUUACAUGUGGGGGCCACAUGCCAGUGUCUGAAAAAGCAAUCGGGUCCCUGGAAAUUUUCUAAAAAUGCAAUCAGGUCCCUGGAAGUUUUCAAAAAAAGCAAUCAGGUCCUCCGGCGCACCCGCCAUGGCCGCGAUGCCACCUCCUCCGGACCGACGCCGUGCAUCGCCUGCAGCCGGCGAGCCACGCCCCUAGUGACCGGAUCCACGCCGCCCCUUGCCUGUGGCCGCCGCCACGCCGCCCCUCGCCUGUGGUCGCCGCCCCGCGCGUGUGGUCGCCGCCACGCUCUGCCUCGCCUGCGACAACCCCCAGGUGCUCCCCAUGGCGGGCGGCAGCACGGGACCUGAGCGGAGACCCAUGGCUGGCGGCGCCCCAGGCAGCUCCCCAUGGCGCGCGGCGGUGUGGCGACCUGAGGGGAGGGAGCGGCUCGCACGAGGUGGGCGCACGAGGGGAGUGAGCGGGUCGCCGGCGGGGUGGGCGUGACAGGGGAGGGGAAAGGGUCGCCGGCGGAGUGGGCACGCCGCCCCUCGCCUGUGGCCGCCGCCACGCCGCCCCUCGCGUGUGGUCGCCGACAGAGAGAGAGAGUACAGGAGGAAGAGGAGAGAAGGAAAGAGAAGAAGAAAAGAGAAGCUGACAUGUGGGCCCCACAUGUCAGUUAACGGUCAAACUAACGGUCAAACUAGAGCUUCGUUUAGGUGCGGGUCCCACCUUUCAUAAUCACGAUCAACUGAUAAGCACUCAGCGUUUUGGGUUUUUUGAAACAGCCGACCCCUCGUUUGGUAGUUAUCUGAGAAAAAUUAAAAACCGGUAGUUUUUUGGAACCAUAGCCUGUAAAGUAGUAGUUUUAUCUAUUUACUCGACAAAAGUACUUUUACAAGCCAAUAAACUGACGAGCCCCCUCUGCUCUGCUCUGCUUUCUACACAAAAAAGUAGUAACUACUACUACUACUAGAUGACCUGGUGUGGCCACUGGCACAAGUACUUGAGAAGAUCGUUUUCGUUCAUUAUUAGUUCUAUCUUUCCUAUAUGUCCAGGUAUUGAAAAUUUUAUCUGCCUCAGGCAAGUAACCGCAGCUACUUGGUUACCUUAUUCCUAUGAAAUGCACACAAUCGGACAUGCUCACGAUGUUCUUUUGCCCUGUCAUAUUCACAAAACCUGACAAGCUCACACUGUUCUGGGUGAUGGUAAUAUUGCCAUGGGCAAUCUUCCAAGAUUGUAUAUGUUCUACAUUUCUAGAUCACCUUGCACCAUGGGCAACACCUGCGUUUCUGGUUCGGGAUGUAUGUGUAUAUUUAUGCGUGUAAUUCAUAAUAAUCUUUGCCAAUUUGUCAUUUCCAAAUUGUGUGUCAGUGAUGCACGGGCAAAGGGUACUGAAGAUCGAGACCAAGCGGCAACAGGUUCAGAUACUGUUCACCAUCCGGCAAGCGAGGAAGCAACGACAAGAACCAAGGCUUCGAGUGGGCCUGCGGCGCUGCCCACUCGAACCACGACGAAGCCCAGAUGGAACGACGGCCCAGAAUGGACUCGGUAGUUAAAUACAUCUCUGUAACGUUCGAAUGGACUUGGCUUGGACUUGGACGGCGGCUCCGGCCGAUUGUAAUCCAGCUGUAGCAGCGAGGGAGGUUGGGAGGAAAUAUACGCUACCGAAU